UACGAAGGGGGCUAGCGUUGUUCGGAAUUACUGGGCGUAAAGGGCGCGUAGGCGGUCUGAUAAGUUAGGUGUGAAAUUCCCGGGCUUAACCUGGGGGCUGCACUUAAUACUGUUGGGCUUGAAUCCGGGAGAGGAUAGCGGAAUUCCCAGUGUAGAGGUGAAAUUCGUAGAUAUUGGGAAGAACACCAGUGGCGAAGGCGGCUAUCUGGACCGGUAUUGACGCUGAGGCGCGAAAGCGUGGGGAGCAAAC
rnacentral:rRNA from 1 species